UCUAAAUUUUAGUUCUCAUUUCUAUUUUUCGUUUUGUAAUAUUUGACAGAGACACCAAACAGCCCCUAUGUGUUCUAUGAUUGCAGAUUCUUGAGAAAUUCCCAUUUGCUUCAUUCUGCUUAGAUAAAAUUUUCAGUUGCACGAUGUUAAUUUUUUUUCUUGAUAACCAAACCUAGAAUAUGUCACCCAUUAUUUUUGGGACAUGUUAUCAAUCAGUUCCAUUUAUGGUUAAUCUUGUACUUAUAAUUCAAUUUGUAAAUUCAAAAUUUUGGUGCAGGUGAAUUUGCCCUAUGCUUCUAUUCUUGUGUUUUGCAUUUAAUGUAUUUAUUUAUGCAUUGGUGCAUUCAUUCAUUCAGGGGAGGCUGCCAAGCUAAUGGUGAUCCCCCAAGGCUCCCUGAUUUUAUGUUCUUGGGUUUGUGUUGCAUGUGUUCUUUAUAUAUAUAUAUAUACAUCUAUUGGAUAAAAGCAUGAAUGCUCCAUUUGGUUAUUGGAACUCAGAUGCAUGCAAAGAUACAGAGCAACUAUAUUGGAAAGCACAAAACAGGUUUUGAAGAUGGUGGUCAAGCUGAGCCACACAAUGAGGGAGUUCUUUUAUGUCUUUAUCUCCGGAUAUAAGUUCUUCAUGUGUUGUCUAUUCAGAAUCUGCUUCUCACACGUUCUUGUGUUCAUUUUCUUGGAGAGAAUUUGAUUUGUUGGGGGUCGUUGGAGGAUAUGUUAACCAUCUCACUUUAAAGGUUUUGGGAGUAGAGAUGGUUUGGCUUUGUGGAGGUGCAAAUUUUUUGCUGUCUUGUGGGGUAUUUGGUUGGAGGAGAUGAGGCUCAUAUUUUCAUCAAGAAGAUGUCCUGCUCUAUGAUCUGGGAUAGGAUCCAAUAUAUUGCCGCAUUGUUGGCUUUUGCAGAGAUCUACAGUGUAAUUGGUUGGUUUUAAUUUAUUUUUUUCUUCCUUUUCAUCUUUUUCUCAUGUAAGAAUGAUUUAUUACAUUCUUAUUUUCCUUUUGAAAUUAGAAUAGUCAAUAUAAUUUAAUCAAGUCAAGAAUUUGUCUUUUUGGAACCCAUGUAUUUUAUCAAAUUUGACAGGCCUUAUAGAAUUUUUAUAAAGUUUAAUCAUUUUGUUGUA